UGAUAGUACGAUGAUUUGGUUGGCGGGAGAGCUGUAACUGCGGGAAACUGCAGGUAGGGGGCUAGGAGUGUUUUUGACACGAGCCAAGUAAGUUGUAGGCCUAUCAGCUGGUAGUUAGGGUAAUGGCCUAACUAGGCGGAGACGGGAGACGGGGGAUCGGGGUUUGAUUCCGGAGAGGGAGCCUGAGAGAUGGCUACUACGUCCAAGGAUGGCAGCAGGCGCGAAACUUGCCUAAUCCUUUGGGGAGGCGGUUAUGAGAAGUGAGUUUUUUUCGAGUGUAAAGGAGUCGAGAUUGAUUGGAGGGCAAGUCGGGUGCCAGCAGCCGCGGUAAUACCUGCUCCAAUAGUGUCUAUGGUGAAUGCUGCAGUUAAAAAGUCCGUAGUCUUUUGUAUGUCUUUGUUUGGGGGGGAU
rnacentral:rRNA from 1 species